GGAUCAUACGUACCUGAGACCAAGAUUAUGUUGUGCGCUAUGCUUUCUGGAGUUGUUAUACUCCCUCUGAUAUUGUUCCUUGAAUGCCAUUAUGAGUACAAGUCAAUGGCAAGUUUGAAACCUGUUUGUUUCUGGAAAAAAGACUCUGACAUGAUGAACAAUUCUUCAAUACCCCCAGCCCAAUUAGGCCUUAGCCCCUCAUCUAGCAUUCGUCACACACGCUCCCUCAAGAACCUUUCUCCACCACCUUUCUAUCAGCAUGCAAUAUGCAAUCAUUCAUUCACUGAACGCAUCUGGAUGAAUUGGACAAAUAGUAACCCUUAUAAGUACCAGUUACCCAUAUGAAAUGUGUCUACAGCUAAUGAAACCGAUGCAUUAUGUUUGUUUGAAGGUUCACAGAAAAUUGUUAGAUCUUAUAACGCAGAAAUGUGCACAGUUAAGGUUGCAUAUCAAUGUAAACAGAUAGGCCUUAUUACUUUUAAUAAUG